rnacentral:rRNA from 1 species
AGUCGAGGGGCAGCAUGAACUUAGCUUGCUAAGUUUGAUGGCGACCGGCGCACGGGUGAGUAACACGUAUCCAACCUGCCGAUGACUCGGGGAUAGCCUUUCGAAAGAAAGAUUAAUACCCGAUGGCAUAGUUCUUCCGCAUGGUAGAACUAUUAAAGAAUUUCGGUCAUCGAUGGGGAUGCGUUCCAUUAGGUUGUUGGCGGGGUAACGGCCCACCAAGCCUUCGAUGGAUAGGGGUUCUGAGAGGAAGGUCCCCCACAUUGGAACUGAGACACGGUCCAGACUCCUACGGGAGGCAGCAGUGAGGAAUAUUGGUCAAUGGACGCAAGUCUGAACCAGCCAUGCCGCGUGCAGGAUGACGGCUCUAUGAGUUGUAAACUGCUUUUGUACGAGGGUAAACGCAGAUACGUGUAUCUGUCUGAAAGUAUCGUACGAAUAAGGAUCGG